rnacentral:lncRNA from 1 species
CUUAAAGGUCAAAUACAGGCAGUGACUCCUGCACAGUUGACUCCCGUCACAUUGUCUUGACAGUGUCCUGGAAAAGACAGUGUCCUGGAAAAUAUUGUGUCCUGGAAAAAUACUGUUUUGGGGCGAUGGGGAGGAGAUGGGGGGUGUAGCAGAUGAGGGGGAGAUGAGGUGGACAGUGAGAGGACCAGAGGUGGUGUGAGAGAGAUGAGAUGAGGGGGACAGUGAGAGGACCAGAGGUGGUGUGAGAGAGAUGAGAUGAGAUGAGGGGGACAGUGAGAGGACCAGAGGUGGUGUGAGAGAGAUGAGAUGAGAUGAGGGGGACAGUGAGAGGACCAGAGGUGGUGUGAGAGAGAUGAGAUGAGGGGGACAGUGAGAGGACCAGAGGUGGUGUGAGAGAGAUGAGAUGAGAUGAGAUGAGGGGGACAGUGAGAGGACCAGAGGUGGUGUGAGAGAGAUGAGAUGAGGGGGACAGUGAGAGGACCAGAGGUGGUGUGGGAG